rnacentral:RNase_P_RNA from 1 species
AAGAUAUCACGGCCUGUCGCUACGACACGAAAGUCGUCGUAGAGGAAAGUCCGGACAACGCAGAGCGCCGCACCACCUAACGGGUGGGCUCCCGGUGAGCAAUCUAAGGGAGACAGAAAGUGUCACAGAAACUAUACCGUCCCUACUAAGUGUAGGGAUAAGGGUGAAAACGCGGGGUAAGAGCCCACGGUGCUCGUCGGUGACGACGACACGGAUAAACCUUGCGGGUUGAAAUGCCAUGUACAUUCCGGCUGAUCUUCGGGUCAGAAGGCUUGCUCGGCCAAGGUCGUAAGACCGCCGGAAGGGGUAGGCAGCUCAGAUAAAUGACAGGCAGGAGCUUCGGCUCCUCACAGAAUCCGGCUUACAGUGAUUUUUAAAAU